UUUUAGGCAAUGUAUUUUGUUGUCUUAACUUGCUUUAGACAAAAAAAAAAAAGAAUUAUAGAAUAUGUAUAAACGUUACGAACUUUAAUUUCUAGUAUCGAGUAAUAAGACUCUGGGUAAUCACAAAAAGGAAUAAAAGGGUGUCGUUCAAUCUUCAUUUUAGAUCUUACCCGGAAGCAAAACACAACAUGUGAAAGGUGAACCCAAACGAAAUCAGUUUCAGCGACUGUUUGUUAUUCUUUUCUAAAUUGAUUAUAGUUUUAUAAAUUUGCACAAGUCCCCUAAUGAGAUUUUAGGAACAAGAGAAUAGAGAAAAUAUGCACAAGUCAAAGUGGAAGCUUUUCUUUUUUUGGUAGGAAUAUGGGAGAAUGACUCUCAAUUUAUUUAAAAAAGAAACUCAAACUUCAGCUUACAAGACGAGUUUGUCGUGGCCGCAACGGUCCAGCAACAUCCUCAUGAACUAAAACAGCGACCUCAAUCGGUGUCACAACAAAACUAUGAAAACCAAACGGAAGAGAAAAUGCAAGCUUAGCCAAACCAUCAGCUAAGCGAUUUGCUUCCCUACAAAACUAUGAAAACCAAACGGAAGAGAAAAUGCAAGGUUAGCCAAACUAUCAGCUAAGCGAUUUGAUUCCCUAUAAAUAAUACAGCUCUAUUAAACUUAGCCAUCAUUUUACGGUAAUAAAAAAUAUCAGGUAAAUGUAGUUUUAUUGAAAAAGAAUAUUACAAAACCAUAAAUAGUGACUGUAUUAUUUGUUUUUUGGAGUUAUAAUAAGUUAAACUAGGUAGAGACCUGCGUAGGGUGAAAUUGUUAAGAAAACAAUAAAAUUUUACUAUACUUUGACAUUGUAUAUAAAUCAAUGUACAUAUUAUAAUAGAUUAAGCAUAUGGUAGAUUUGUGGAUACAUGUAAGAAAAACAUUUUUUUUGAAUCAAAAUAUUGGGCUAUAAAAAUCUAUGGACCAAGACUUGGUCAUUAUCAAUGUACAUAUUGUAAUAGAUUAAGCAUUUCUUACUUGUCUUUGAAUAGAUCUCCGGUUCCUGUAAAUCUAACCAAGCUUGUAUGGUAUAUCUUACAGUAUAGUGACGAUAGGAAGUUACCAAAUAUAGUUUUUCACCGCAUAUGUAUGGUGGGAGACGGUUUUUUCAAGAACUAUAGUAGUGGUCCGUGAUAAAAUGUUUUGUGUUUCAUGACUUUGCCUACCAACAGGUCGAAUCUGGCCAUCAAACACAGCCAAACUAUAUUCACAGGUUAGCAUCCAACUUAUUAAUGACUUUUGUACUAUUUGGACUGAUCAAAGCAUAUUUAGUUUAGUUGGUCUUAUAAAAUUAAUGAUAGGCUGAUAUAAUAAUAUGAGUUUACCAUAAUAGUUAACAACUGAAGAUCUAAUUAUAUAAAGAAGAGAUUGAUUCUCUUCUCAGAGAGACACGUCACUAAUUGGAAGCACCAGACAAUGACGCGUGUCCUGAUAUCAAUACUCGGGCGUUUCAUUAAUUUAAGUCGUGUUUUUGUAUCUCUGGGCUGGGAAAAUGGUAGGCUACGUUUGAUUUUAAAACAUGCCCAUAACCUGAAUAAGGAAAACCCUAAGCUUUUGAUAGAAAAAAAAGGAAAAUCCUAAGCUUGUCGCGUUGUCGUCUCCUUCGAGACUUCUCAUCUUCGUCUCUAUCAUCUCAGCACAGAAACGCUCAUGAUUAUUUCUUCGUCGUGUUUAAUCUCCAUUAAUUCAAUCAAACACGAUGUGGCCUUUAAUGCGUGCUUUGAUUCGAAGUCGGUGUAUCUACGAGUAUAAAUAGGCGAGCAUUCUUCCUCUUGCAAUCAUCUUAUCAAUCUGUUUAAACAGCAAACACACAUUUAUUUUCUGAGAUAUGGCUAACUCCAAAAUUUUGCUUUCCGAUUUGAAGUCCGAUAAUUGUUCUUCUAGAGUUCAAGUUAGAUUGUUGCGAUUCUGGGAGGCGGGAUAUGUUAGGCGCGGUGGUGAGCUCAUGUCCGUCCAUAUGCUCUUGCCUGAUUCGAAGGCAACUAUCAUGCCAGCCACCAUGAAUGCUAGCCACUUUUCCCGUUUUAUGGUGUGAGUCCAGCUCAGUCCUUCUUCUCCAAGAAGGCUCCGGCGAGAUCUCCAGCGACUUAUGGGAUCGCGGUGAGCUUGGUGAUGAAUUUGGCUGUGGCCAUUUUUAACACACUUCUGCUGCUAAGUUUAAGAGAAAUGAUAACAAAGCAAAGGCUAUGGGAAGGAGGAGAGCUUUUGGAUAUAAUACUUUCAAGAGGUGGGAAGUAUAAGGAGGAGGAUGCAAAGUUUGUUAUGAUACAAAUAUUGUAAGUGAUUGCAUUUUGUCAUCUCCAAGGUGUUGUACACCGAGAUCUCAAACCCAAGAGUUUUCUGUUAACCUCAAAAGACACCACUCAGUUUAAGGCAAUAGAUUUUGGCUUUUCAGAUUACAAUGAGAGGACAACUAACUUAUAAAGAUUGGGUUUUAGGGUCAAAAAAGGCAGCGCAAAAAUUUACCUCUAACAGAAGCAGCCAUAGAAUUCUGAAAAUGAAAUUCAAUGCAACUCACGAAGAGUUAAUCAAAUUGUGAAACGUAAAAGAAUAUGCAGGUUUCAAGUAUGCUCUGGAAACUUUGGUAGAGACACCUAAUAUGACUGUUAGGGUCGCAAAAUGGUUGAUUUGUAUCUUUUCAGCUUCGCUUAUAGGAAUACACUUAAAUUAUGUUCUUACUAUUCAAUCAUGGCAGCGUCCUGCUAACGAUUGUAAUCAACUUUGCAAAAAUCCAAAAAGCAAUCUUAAACCAUUUUUAGAUAUAAGGAAUGAGACUUUUGUGAACAAACGUUCAUUAUCUUUCACAAAGAAAGUGCUACAGAAAUGGUGACUUGAAGUUGUACGAAACUGAGUUCUAGAGUUUUUUAUUUUUGUUUUUGAAACACUUGAGUUCUAGAGUUUAUAGGGACUUUAACCAAUGUUUUAGUUCCUGCCUUCCUGGACUUAUAUUUACUGUGUUUUUUUUUUAAAACGUGGACCAUUAUGAUCAUCUUUAUCUCUUAAAGCUAUUGAAGGAGAAAUAAAAGAUCAUCGACAGAAGAAUAAAAUUUCACUAUACACACAUACAUGUGCUUAUUUAUGUCUCCUGAAUCAUGAAUGUUUGUUUCAGUAUAAACUUAUAUUUUGUAUUUUGACCAAAAAAAAAACUUAUAUUUUGUAUUGAGUUGAUCUUUCUUUAUCCGUGUACUUUUCUACUUUUGUUGUGCACAAAAUUUUUAGUUGGUUAACAAAACAUGAGUCAACUUCAGAUUUGCUUGAUAAAUUUUCUUAUACAAUAAAGACUAAUACAUUAAAACACUUUGAAUAGACCAUUGAUUUGUUUGGUGAUGUAUAUAUAUAGCUCAAGUUUUAUCUGGACAUGCUUUGAAUAGAGGCCUCCAAAAUUGGCCCCAAGACAAGAAACCUUCCUAUCCAUCGGAACACUUGGAAACAAACUCUUCCCUAGGACGAAUAUGGAGCAGAGUCUACCAAAGAUCUCACUGCGAUUAACACAAAUAAAACUUUUGGGAAGAAGAAAUCACUUGAAACUUCCACCUCCUCUGGGUUUGACUGUAGGAGAUUUAUUUCCUAUAAAAUAUAUUUCAUAGUUGACUGCCGUUCAAAAAAAAUAAUACAUAUAUGACCAAGUUAUUUGGUCACUGCUUUCAAUUGCAAACUCAUGUGACAGUCAAUUCACAGAUACUGAUAUCAAUGGAACUAAAUAAAGCUAUAACAAAGUUGAAAAAAUUACCGGCGGUUACGAAAGAAAACGAAAUAUGACUAAGAAAAAAGCGGCAAAAGUGGAAUGGAAGACUCGACCUUAGAUAGGACAUAUGCUUUUAACUAAAUUGGGCUUUAAUUGAAAUUAAGCUUAUUAUCCAUAUAUGGCCUCUUCUAAUCAACUUUAAUCGUUUCUUUGAUAAAAGCAAAUAUUACAAGUUAGAAAAUUGAUCAAAAUGAUUUUUUUCGGUCAUUGUUUUGAUUUUGAAAUUACCUUUGUCAUACAACAAACACCGUAUAACACAAAUCUUAUAAUCUAAAUAACAAUUAAAUUAUGGGCUAUGGAGUUACUGUCGGAUGAGGUAGUGCAUGUUUCUACUUCCACGCUGAGUAACAAAUUUUCCAUUAUUUUAAAACUCGAACCGAAUUAACAGUCAGACAGAUUUAACCGUCAACUAGAGACAUAUUCGGGUCGGCUGGAUAAAAUUGCGUUUAGUUUUAAUUUGUUACUAAAAAACAUUUGUUGAUUGUUUAUCUUUUAAAUCAUCAAAACUAUUAUAAAUAAAUAAUAUAUUUUAUUAUAUUUAAUGAUUAAUAUUUUAUCUUAUAAUUUAAAAUAUUGAAUUUAUAUUUUAUUUUUAUUUUUUUUACUUAAAUUUAUAAAAUAUAUGCAAUCAAAAUAUAUAAUAAUAUAAUUAUAUACAUCACAUUUAAAUCAAAUCCUGCGCGUAGCAUGCUUACCCUGGUAAUAUAUAUAGUGAUAAUAGAAAGAGAAGACGUCUGAAAACGACUAAUAUAUGAGAUAUAAAAUGCUACUGAAUGUUGUCGUCAAUAAGCUUUGAUUGGAAUCCUGAGAAGAAAAAUAAAACUAAGAAAAAAAUAUUAAGUAAAUAUAGAUGGAAGAUUAAUUAAAAACAAUAGAAAAUGAAUUUAGAUGCCUGCUACUUCUUUUUGAAGGUCUGUAUUUCUGGAAUGUCAGGGUCGAACAAAAUUUUAGAAAAUCCACUUGCUUGAAACCACUUAUAUAUGAAGCAAAUAUUUCUGCUUACCAAAUUAAGAAUGAUCUAGAGUUGUGUGUACCUAUUCUAUAUGUAAAUUACCUUCUCCCUAGAGGUCCAAAAGCCUUGUAAAGUUAAUAAUUAGGAAACACA